UACGUAGGUGGCAAGCGUUGUCCGGAUUUAUUGGGGUUAAAGGGUGCGUAGGUGGUCUAUUAAGUCAGUGCUGAAAUAUCCCGGCUUAACCGGGAGGGUGGCAUUGAUACUGAUGGACUUGAGUAAAGUUGAGGUGGGCGGAAUUGACGGUGUAGCGGUGAAAUGCUUAGAUAUCGUCAAGAACACCUAUUGCGAAGGCAGCUCACUAAGCUUUAACUGACACUGAGGCGCGAAAGUGUGGGGAUCAAACAGG
rnacentral:rRNA from 1 species